AAGGAUUUAAGUUAAAUAAACUAAUAGCCUUCAAAGCUGUAAAUAGAGAGUGCACCCCCUUUUUAAGCCUUA
rnacentral:tRNA from 1 species